rnacentral:pre_miRNA from 1 species
UUAACUCAACUUAGUAUGGAAUUGGAACGUUGACCUACGUUUGCCGCUAGGGGCGCUGUUCCAACUCUAUACAGAUUUAACUUU